rnacentral:lncRNA from 1 species
UUCCAGGGGGAGUUGGUGGAGUUCCAGGUGGAGUUGGUGGAGUUCCAGGAGGAGUUGGUGGAUUUCCAGGGGGAGUUGGUGGAGUUCCAGGAGGAGUUGGUGGAGUUCCAGGUGGAGUUGGUGGAGUUCCAGGAGGAGUUGGUGGAUUUCCAGGGGGAGUUGGUGGAGUUCCAGGGGGAGUUGGUGGAGUUCCAGGAGGAGUUGGUGGAGUUCCAGGUGGAGUUGGUGGAGUUCCAGGAGGAAUUGGAGGAGUUAAACCGCCUAAAGUUUACAGCGGUACAGGUGGAACUGGAGCUCUUGGAGUUGGAGGUGUAGGUGGAAUGGGUCCAGCUGGAACAGGAGGAGCUGGACUUCUGCCUGGAGGUGGUGGUUUACUACCAGGAGGUUAUGGAGGAGCUGGAGGUUUAGGAGCCGGUGGGAUCCAACCAGGGACUGGUAAAUAUUUUUCAGAUUAAAACAAAACACCACAUUCCUGAUAUUUUAUGU